rnacentral:piRNA from 1 species
UGCUUAGUGGUACACAAACAUAAAUUGUGGC